CACAUGCAAGUCGAACGAACCUUCGGGUUAGUGGCGGACGGGUGAGUAACGCGUGAGAAUCUGCCCUCAGGAGGGGGAUAACAGCUGGAAACGGCUGCUAAUACCCCAUAUGCCGCGAGGUGAAAUGAAUUUCGCCUGAGGAUGAGCUCGCGUCUGAUUAGCUAGUUGGUGUAGGUAAUGGCUCACCAAGGCAUCGAUCAGUAGCUGGUCUGAGAGGAUGAUCAGCCACACUGGGACUGAGACACGGCCCAGACUCCUACGGGAGGCAGCAGUGGGGAAUUUUCCGCAAUGGGCGAAAGCCUGACGGAGCAACGCCGCGUGAGGGAUGAAGGCCUCUGGGCUGUAAACCUCUUUUAUCAAGGAAGAAGAUCUGACGGUACUUGAUGAAUAAGCCACGGCUAAUUCCGUGCC
rnacentral:rRNA from 1 species